UGCGUAGGCGGAAUAUUAAGUCAGUGGUGAAAUCCUGCGGCUCAACCGUAGAACUGCCAUUGAUACUGAUAUUCUUGAAUAUAGUUGAGGUAGGCGGAAUGUGUAAUGUAGCGGUGAAAUGCUUAGAUAUUACACAGAACACCGAUUGCGAAGGCAGCUUACUAAACUAUUAUUGACGCUGAUGUACGAAAGCGUGGGGAGCGAACAGGAUCAGAUACCCUGGUAGUCC
rnacentral:rRNA from 1 species